GCUAAAAGAAGAAAAAGUUGCGCAGCAGCGUGAAAAAGGAAAAAACAGAAAAAAACACACACGAUAACAGAAAGGGCAACAUUUUUCCAAUAACAAGCAUAGCUCCUCCCUUUCCUCCAUGGAAACAAACCAGCUUCACCUCUGUAAAAGACCAUUUUCGUCACCUUAAAAGCUUCCAAAAUCGUUCUUCCCCAAAGUACCUUGUUCCAGAUCUGAAAACACUCUCAAUCACCAUAAACACACCUGAAAAUGCUACCCUAAGCUGCCCAAAUCCCAGCUGAAAAACCUCUCAAAUAUCAGCUGAACAACCUCUCAAAUAUCAGCUUCUUUCUCCUCCAAAAACACGACGAAAUUAAUGCCUAAAUUCCAGCAGUUUUCUCCAUUUAAACCCAGCUAUAAAACAACAUAAAAACAGUCCAAAAGAGCUCCAAAAGUCAUGAAAACCAGUUGAGAUCAUCUUAAAAAUGCAGCCAAAAAUUCAGUCCAAAAAAGCUGCGAAACUGGUGAAAAACAGCCACCUUUUCGCCAUGAAAAUGCAGCCAUGAACUCUCCAAACUACCCUGAAAGUGCUGCCUUGCAAACUUGAACAAAACCAACUGCGAAAUAGCUCGAAAUCUAGCCACAAACCUCCAGUGAAACGACCUCUUUUACACCUGAAACGGUCGUCCAAAUCUGGUCGACUUGGUACCCUCUCCUACCUACCACGAGAAAAGAGGUUGAAGCAACGAAUUCUUUUUUUUUAUUUUAACCGCCAUGUCCGUUUUGCCUGGAUUUUGAUUCGUGGUCGCAGUCGAGGUCAUGGUCAAUUAGUUCUGUUCUAUUCCGUUCGGGGUCCGCAUUUUGGUUCGUUGUUGAGUUUCAAAGAUACAAAGCCACGCUCUUGUAUUGAAGGGUUCUGCCAAAAACUCAACCAAGAGUGUAAAUAGAGAGACAACUUUUUAGGUAUUGUUCAUGUUUGUUAUCUCCUAAGCAUUUGGUUUUUCAAAUUGCUAUAUUGGCUAAUUAUGAUUUAUAACCAUAUAUAUACGUGUAAUUCGUUUUAUAUGAGGUUUUA